UACGUAGGGUGCAAGCGUUAAUCGGAAUUACUGGGCGUAAAGCGUGCGCAGGCGGUUUGUUAAGUCCGUUGUGAAAGCCCCGAGCUCAACUUGGGAAUUGCAGUGGAUACUGGCAGGCUGGAGUACGGUAGAGGAAGGUGGAAUUCCCGGUGUAGCAGUGAAAUGCGUAGAUAUCGGGAGGAACACCAGUGGCGAAGGCGGCCUUCUGGACCAGUACUGACGCUUAUGCACGAAAGCGUGGGGAGCAAACAGG
rnacentral:rRNA from 1 species